rnacentral:sRNA from 1 species
UUUUAGCAGGCGUUAGGGAUUGCAGCGGCAUCCUUUUUAAUACUUGACUUGACCAAAGAUAGUUUUUAAACUAUACAAUAAUAGAUUGCCACGUCGCUCACUCCUCGCAAUGACAUAUUAAAAAGAUAUAGCGGAAAGCCUGCCUGCCG